UGACUGUAUUUUUUAUUUGUCAUUUUCUAAAGUUUUAUGAACACUUCUGUUUUUCUGUCGAGCACUAAUAGAGAGAAAACUGUUUUCUUAUUUUUAACAGGGAACAAACUGCGUAGCAAGAUCAAUAAUGAAUGGUUCAAGUCAUGUGUUACAAGUUACAAUGAGCAGGUGGUACUCAAGUCCGUUGAUGAUAAGGAUAUUAUUCGAACAUUUACUGCAAUGAGGUCUCGGAAAGGGCAUUUGCCUCGUGAUUGUCUUUAGUGCGCUGUCGGUAUUCGGCAUGCCAGCGCCUUCGUCGACCUCCACUCGCCAAUCUGUAACGCCUAUGCCCGUGGUGGCGGGUCACACUCUGAUGCAGCCGUGCACGCCGCCGCUACCAGACGACACCCCCAUCGAGUAAUACACCCCAGUCGAGAUUUUCUAUAUCAUCUCUGCCAAGGCGCAGUUAUCGGAAGAGAUUCAGGCGGCAUUGCUGGCGGCCGAAGGGGUGCUUGUGGAAGCAGGUGGAAUAGUCGGCAGCUGUGGGGAUUCAUUAUUCUCCGAGGUUGGCGGGCUCGACGCCAGGCUCGAUGGGGCUGCGGGAUUGUCAAGCAGGCGGGUGAUUGCUCAACGAUGACUGGAGACGAUCUUCGGUAUUACAACUGCUUUAUACCAAUGGGUUAUUUGCAUCUCAAGUUAAAUUAGUCACUGUU